AUAUAUUUUUCCAGAGCAUUUCAACACUGUGUACACCUAGUGUUUGAGGCCGCGCAGAGACACAUUUGGUGUGACAGAUGUACACAGCACAUGAGCAGCAGAGGGCAAGAGCUGAAAUGCCUUGGCCAGUGAAUGACUCUUUCUGUCAAACUUCAGGGAUAAGCAUGAAUUUCUCAUGACCUCAAACACAAUGGUGGCAGCAUUUGAUGACGCGAAUGGAAAAACUCAAAAAUAAGAUGCAAAGGCUCAGAGGGAGUGUGAGCUCGACCUGGAUGUUCUGCAGACAGCACACUCCUCUAAUGAUGAAAAUAAACAGGCUCUCGCCACAAAGCCACCUCAGGAAAAUGUCGAAGACGUUACAAUACUGUAAUUGAAGAUUCUUAAUAAAGGAUAUUGUGGAGCUUU